UCUUCCUCUUCCUCAUCCUCAUCUUCAUCCUCCAGUGAUGAGGGGUGAUGCUUCCUGUGGGGGCCGGACUGCUCUCGUUGUCUCUCAUGAUCUUGUCUGUUAACAAAAUGUGUGGUUAAGUGUGUAGUAGUAUCAUCUUUUCUUCCUGUCUUUUCAUUGGUGUCACAGAAAAAUGCUGGUCUUGUCUAAACAGAUGUGCUCAUCUAGUGAGGUAAAUCAACAAAAUGCCUGCA